rnacentral:lncRNA from 1 species
GACUGAGUAAAGGGAAUGCUACCUGACCCCAACGUGGCGCAUCUGUUCCCAGCAGCCACUGGACCUCUGAACACCAACCCUAUGAACCUCCAUCAAGUGGUGAGUGAGAUGGAAUGGUGAAUUCAUGGAGCAUUCUCCAUACCUGAUUCAUGAGAAUUCUAAAA